UCCGCCUUCGCCUCCGCCUCCGCCUCCGCCUCCGCCUCCGCCUCCGCCUAUUCCUUCUAGUUUCGGCUCCGCCUCCUCCUUCCAAAGCUGGACUUCUCAUUUUCCGCCGCCUUCUCCUUCUAGUGAACAAAAUCAAAAUCCAUUUGUGGAAAGUGUAAAGUCCCUUUAUCCUCCCAAAGCAAUUCGUAUCUCGAACCCUUUCUAUCUGAACCAAAAAAACGUUAAGAAGGAAAUACCCAAAUCAAUUGACCAAGCUUCAUUCUCAAUCCCCCAAAUGACUAUGAAAUUUACCUAAUGUCCCCCAGAACCCUAAGCCCCAAAUCAUGAAAAUCAAUUACCCAUGUUCCCUUGCCGACCACUCGAAGAGGCCGACCCAAGCGUGAAGAAGCACACCCAUUUCAUUUCUGUACUUCGAGCAAGGACUAGUUGGCGUACACAUGAACGACUCCUUUAUCCAAUAAAAUUUUAUCACUAUUUUGGUUCUAAUAACAACUAAGUGGCUGUUGAUUUGAUUUGUCAAGUUUACUUGGAUUAUUGGAAUUCACUAGUUUUAGAGCUGUUUGAAGCAUGUCAUAAUCAGGACAAUCCUUUAGUAGCCUCAAACAUGAUCGGAUUGCAGGUGCAGUACAUUAUUUUAGUCCCUUUUAAUCCUUUUUCUAUUGUGUUAGAUCUUUGAAUAUAAUCAAUCCAUCAUUGUUUCCUGAGUGAGUUUGAAAGUCAUAAUCCUGUUUUCCUGUUGGCUAUAUGAUGCAUAUAUUUCCAGUUUUAAAGUUGAAGACUUUGAAGGACUAGUUCUCCUAAGUGCAUUCACUACAACAUAUCAAGUCUUCUAUAGCUUGCGAAAAAUGCUAUAUAUCAUGUUUCAUAGCAUUUUCCAAAAUGCUAUCGUAGGUGGUGUAAUUAAAAGUCAUACCUCUAUUAUAACGUUUUAUAAAUGCUAUUAUAAAGUGCUAUAAAAAACUUUUACAUAGCAUUUUUUUAUCGUCAUGGUUUUAGUAUUUAUAGCAUUCUUUUCAUGCAAUCUUUUUUAAUUCGAUAGCAUUUUUUUUUUGUCAUACUUUUAGCUUUAGUAGCAUUUUUUAAUUGUCAUGUUACAUCUUUUAUAACAUUCUUUUUCAUCAUAAUUUUUAAUAAUUAUAGCAUUUUUUGAAUAUAAUGUAUUAUUUUUAAUAGCAUUUUUUGAUUGUAAUGUAUACAUAUUACAUAGUAUUCCUAAUUCCUCAAUUAUCAAAUGUAAGUAUUCAAUAACAUUAUUUUUUGGACAAAAAAUAUGAACAACAAUAAUAAGACCAAUAAUACAUUCAAAACAUUCAUCAAUAUUGAAAUUCAUUACGAAAUCUAAUUACAUUUCGUCUUCAUAUCAAAUACUGGCAGCAAUAUAAGCUUGAAAAGAUAAUAAACAAAAUCAAAUUAGAAUGAUCUCAUUCUAUUUAUUCAAAAUGAAAUUCCUUGAACUCUUGCAAAAAGUUUGGAGAAGACAUCUGUCAAUCCAAUAAAGCAUUUAAAUCUGAAAAUUAACAAGUGAUACAACUUAUUAGAUUGUAAAAUAAUGUAAAGUAAAAAUAUUCAAAACUCUAAUUAGUGCUUGAAAAUGUUAGCGUAUAAAAUUUGACCUUUUUGUCUAUGCUAUUUACUUGAUGACAACUUUGUCAAUUGGCCAUGCAACUGUGGUACCAACACAUUCUUCAAUAUAAGUCAUAUCAGAAGUAGGCCUCCACAAGAAUGCAUCAGGUUUCAAAGCUACAUCAACCCAAACUCUCACAGCAUUAGGUCCUAGAGGAACGUGAUGAACCAAUAUUUUUGGAUCAUUUGAAGACCAACGUCUUUCUACUACCUCUUCUCCUGUUCGGUCCAAUCUAGUAACGUACACUUAUUGUUGAGUGUAUUGGUAUUUACACUCUUCAGUAACACAAAUUUAGGAGCCAAGUUAUAGACAAUUUUAAAAAUAAAUAUAUAUUGUCAAUUAAAAGGAAUGAUAAAUUUUACCGAUGAAGACAGUUGAAUGUUAGAUAAUUCUUCAAUGUGCUUCUCCUGAAACUACAAAGAUAAAAAACUUUAGAAACUAGUUACUAUACUAUGUGAAGUAAAAGCUUAUGAGUUAUAUUUCACUGAAUGGAACUUACUAACCUGUUUUUUCAAUAAGUCAUUGAUUGUUUUCACCAUAUCUGCCACUUGAACCUUUAGAUGAUUUGUUCUUCCUUUAAAUGAGCUACAGUAGACUCCCUUUGAGUUAAUAUGGAAUACUUUGUAUAGCAAACUCCACCUCCAAUCCCUCGUAAUCGUCCAGUAUUCUUUGAACCAAGUACUUUAGAAAGAGCAUCUUCUUUUAUGUUAGUGUUAGAGGCAUGCGGACUCGCAUCUUUCAAUUUUUCCUAAAAAGACAAUAUAUAAGUGUAUAUAUACAUAUAUGCGCACACACACAUGCAUGCGCGCAUAUAUAGAACUAGGAAAAAUAAAUUAUUUAUACUUACAAGCGUAUCUUCAACAAGUUUGCAUAUAGGUUCACCAUUCUUUUUUAUAUUUGCUGCUGCCCAAACCUUCUUGGGACCUAUAGAAGAUGGAUUGCUGCUCUUCUUUUGCUAAGAGAGUGAAGAAUUAUAUGAUAAGAAUCUAGAGCAAAUGAUUGACUUAGUCAAAUUAAAGAAGGCUUGUGGAAUGUUACCAUAUCUUCACGCAAUCUGGCAAAUCCCUUACGACUGCAUGUGUGGGGGAUUUGUUUUUCUCGAAUUUCUCUAAAUCUUUGGCUUUUAGCCUAACAAUCAUAUUUCCAAACUUAUAUAAGUUUAUUGAUAAUUAAUCAUAGCUUAGAUAAAUUUGAUCUAAAAAAAGGGAAAAGGUAGAAUUUACCAUAAAUUCUGUACUCGUCUUUUCCUUCACAAACUUCUUCCAUUACUGGGGUUUAAGUAUAUGAUGAGGUUUGAGUUUCUUUCUUUCAGCUUCAUUUGGUGCUUCUCUAAUCUUUUUCACAAGUCGAGACUUCGACGCUCUCCAGAGACCACCCAUUUCUUUGAAAAUGUAGUCUUUUUGCCAUUCUUCAUCUACUUUGAACCUUUGCUGCAAGUUAUAAAUUUUCAAUUUUAUACAAUAUCAAAUACUUAUUACGUUAUAUUAUAUAACGUCGAAUUAUUUUGAAGGAUGUACCUGAAUAUCUUUCCACAUAACAAGUUUCAUAUCAUCUGAAAGGUAUCGCCAGUCAACAAGAGUAUAUGGUACAGUCUCCCUCACAAGACGGCCCAGAAACGAAGAUAAAGUGACAGAUAGUGAUUGUCCCAUUUCAUUAAACUUUACUUCAAUUGGAGCAAUGACUUCGUUCAAAUUCUUCAUUUGGGUAGGGCCUUUCUUCUUCUUUUGAACUUGUUGAGUCUCUCCUUCAGAAGUGUAACAUUUUGUUGCAAUAGACUCGCAUCUUCCACAUGUGUUCUUUGGUUUUCAUUACCACUCAUGUCUACAUCAUCUUCUGGGGUAACCUCAUGUGAUGCCUCAUCUGUAAAUGUGUUAGUGAUGGACCUCACUGUACAGUUUUUUGGUAAAUCAACAAGUGAAUAAUAUUUUUUUCAUGAGAUCCUUAUGCAUAUUCAUGCUGUAGAAAGAACUAGUAGGAACAUCCAGAGAGUUAAAAUGUUGUUGAAAUGUGUUGGCUACUUUAAGUUGUCCAUGUGUAGUUUUUCGUACUAAUCUCUUUUUACGUGGAGCUUUGGAAUCAUCAACAACCUUUUUUCUGAUAUUCACCAUGAUAUCCAGCCUAUUUAAGAAACUAUAAAAAUCAUGAUUAGCAUUCUAUGUCAAAAUUUCAAAAAAUGACAUUAAAAAAUGAAUAAACA
rnacentral:lncRNA from 1 species